AACAUGUAGUUUCUGCUGCAAAGCUUUUUCAGGACUUGACUUAUAGCAGUGCAGCCAUCGGCCAGUCAGAGACUCCUUCUAUCAAAAAACCAACUUUUGCACGAAGGACCAAAAGCAGUUACAGCACAUCCAUGUAGUCACACCUCUGAGCUCAAAACUGUCCAAGGCUCCAGAAAUCCAGGCAGGAGAGCUGGGAAAGUGAGAAAUCACAAAGGACAGUUUAGACACCUGACAGCAGCCAAAGUACAAGUAUGUCUGGACCAUGUACCGGCGCACAUCUCACCUGGCUGGGCCUCACCAGAAGACUCAAUCUGGGGCUGGAGCAGAAGUCACUUCUGCUGGGAGCCCCUAAAUUCUAUGUGGCAGGCACCAACUUGCAGGUUCUAGAUCAGCAGAGG